CCGGCUGCCCCAUGUCUCAAGUGGAACUGUCCCUGAGCAAGACACCCAACCCCUAUUUGCUCCCUGGGCAAAACUUUAAAGUGUAAUGUAAGUCUGCUAAAUUAUCUGUAAUGUAAUGUGUGUUUACCAUACCAUUAUACAGGUGGUGGGGGCGACACGUGCACACUCCCACUUGCUGACAGAGAUUGCGUGUCAGAAAAUGUAGGUCCAUCCAUACUCACCUGUAAACCUUGGGAAAACACUAAAUACUGACCGUGUUGUAAAAUAAAUACAUUCUGUACUGCAAACCAGGACACAAUUUGGGGAGAGCGAAAUCCACUUCCUCAAAUGCUUCAUAGAUCAGUACAGGCUUUGUGUGGACCUCCUACUGUACUUACAAUGGAAACGGCCCGGAUCAAUACAAGGAGGGUUUCUUUCAAAGUUGCCACAGUGGAAUUCAACCCUGGUGUCUAAAAUAUUUAAGCUUUCAUCAGAUUGUUUCUUUUGAUUGUUUCACUACCAAUCAGAGUUUGGCACCAACUAAUCUUUUUGGUUACACGUGUACGUCAAAUUGUUUCCGGGAGGUUAAUUGGUUUUCAUUUACUACAUUUAAUCAAUACGAUCAUAGUAUAAAAAGCAAUAACGUAACAUGUAACGUAAAGUCUUGCAUAUUUACUUAUGCAGUUAAUGAGUAUGUGAUAAAGUGCUCUCUGCAUCUACCAGCCGUGGAGCAGGUACAGGCUGUGCUGUGCCGUGUUGUGUUCCUACCUCAAUGACAGGGUCCUGACUGUAUUCUUUUAGUAGGUCCAGAACCACAGCAUCCCCAAUUGCUCCCAGAGCCUCUCCUAACCAAAGAAAAAAGUCAAAGCGCUCAACAGGCGCAUAUACUGUUGCUUGUAGUUCUCAAAUAAAAGUAGGUGUGUUUGUCUGGUGGAGUUGUGGUUUGGAAGUGAUUGGUCUCUUGGCCGAUCCCAGUUUAUGAGCACAAGCAUUCUUACCUGCUUCAUGCCUGACCAUUGGCUCCUGCUGUGUAUCUCGGAGAACUGCUGUUAAAGUGGGUAUGGCAUGUCUGUCUUGCAUCUGUCCAAGGCAGUAAGCCAACUCGUGUUUCAGCAGGGCAGACUCAUCUGUGAAGGCUUUACUGAUCCAUUCUAUAGCUUCAGCACCUAGACCAUGGUAAAGCAUUCAUCAGUUCACAUUCAGUACAUUAACAAGAUAUACACACACACGAUUAAAAAAAUAAUCUCACAUUAAAAAAACCCCAUUAGUCUAGAUUAAAACUAAAUUUCAUAAAUUAACAGGAAAUCACUUUAGAAAGCGUGUAUUUUAGAUAAUGUAUUUUUUUAAACACAAACUUACACGCAUGUGAUCAUCUUCAUCAAACAAAUGUAGUGCGAUCCGCAAAGAAAUACAUCUACGAAUAUGCGUUACACACACACACACACACACACACAUACACACACAUACA